AGCGAACGCUGGCGGCAUGCCUAACACAUGCAAGUCGAACGAGACCUUCGGGUUUAGUGGCGCACGGGUGCGUAACGCGUGGGAACCUGCCCUUAGGUUCGGAAUAACUCCCCGAAAGGGGUGCUAAUACCGGAUAAUGUCUUCGGACCAAAGAUUUAUCGCCUUUGGUUGGGCCCGCGUUGGAUUAGCUAGUUGGUAGGGUAAAAGCCUACCAAGGCGACGAUCCAUAGCUGGUCUGAGAGGAUGAUCAGCCACACUGGGACUGAGACACGGCCCAGACUCCUACGGGAGGCAGCAGUGGGGAAUAUUGGACAAUGGGCGAAAGCCUGAUCCAGCAAUGCCGCGUGAGUGAUGAAGGCCUUAGGGUUGUAAAGCUCUUUUACCCGGGAUGAUAAUGGCAGUACCGGGAGAAUAAGCUCCGGCUAACUCCGUG
rnacentral:rRNA from 1 species